GACGAACGCUGGCGGCGUGCUUAACACAUGCAAGUCGAACGGAAAGGCCCUGCUUUUGUGGGGUGCUCGAGUGGCGAACGGGUGAGUAACACGUGAGUAACCUGCCCUUGACUUUGGGAUAACUUCAGGAAACUGGGGCUAAUACCGGAUAUGAGCUCCUGCUGCAUGGUGUUGUUUGGAAAGUUUCGGCGGUUGGGGAUGGACUCGAGGCUUAUCCGCUUGUUGGUGGGGUAGUGGCUUACCAAGGCUUUGACGGGUAGCCGGCCUGAGAGGGUGACCGGCGACAUGGCGACUGAGAUACGGCCCAGACUGCUACGGGAGGCAGCAGUGGGGAAUAUUGCAGAACGGGCGGAAGCCUGAUGCAGAAACGCCGCGUGCGGGAUGACGGCCUUCGGGGUGUAAACCGCUUUCGCCUGUGACGAAGCGUGAGUGACGGUAAUGGGUAAAGAAGCACCGGCUAACUACGUG
rnacentral:rRNA from 1 species